AGAGUUUGAUCAUGGCUCAGAUUGAACGCUGGCGGCGUGCCUAACACAUGCAAGUCGAGCGGUAACAGGUGUAGCAAUACAUGCUGACGAGCGGCGGACGGGUGAGUAACGCUUGGGAAUCUGCCUGUUAGUGGGGGACAACCCGGGGAAACUCGGGCUAAUACCGCAUACGCACUACGGUGGAAAGCCGGGGACCGCAAGGCCUGGCGCUAACAGAUGAGCCCAAGUCGGAUUAGCUAGUUGGUAGGGUAACGGCCUACCAAGGCGACGAUCCGUAACUGGUCUGAGAGGACGACCAGUCACACCGGAACUGAGACACGGUCCGGACUCCUACGGGAGGCAGCAGUGGGGAAUAUUGGACAAUGGGGGCAACCCUGAUCCAGCGACGCCGCGUGGGUGAAGAAGGCCUGCGGGUUGUAAAGCCCUUUCGGUUGGGAAGAAAAGCUGUGACCUAACAUGUCGCGGCCUUGACGUAACCAACUAAAGAAGCACCGGCUAACUCUGUGCCAGCAGCCGCGGUAAUACAGAGGGUGCGAGCGUUAAUCGGAAUUACUGGGCGUAAAGCGCGCGUAGGCGGCUUUGCAAGCCGGAUGUGAAAUCCCCGGGCUUAACCUGGGAACUGCAUUCGGGACUGCAUUGCUAGAGUAUGGGAGAGGGAAGUGGAAUUUCAGGUGUAGCGGUGAAAUGCGUAGAUAUCUGAAGGAACAUCAGUGGCGAAAGCGACUUCCUGGACCAAUACUGACGCUCAUGUGCGAAAGCGUGGGGAGCAAACAGGAUUAGAUACCCUGGUAGUCCACGCCAUAAACGAUGAGAACUGGAUGUCGGGAGGGUCUGCCUCUCGGUGUCGUAGCUAACGCGUUAAGUUCUCCGCCUGGGGAGUACGGCCGCAAGGUUGAAACUCAAAUGAAUUGACGG
rnacentral:rRNA from 1 species